AGAGAGAGACAUGCGCGCAUAUCAAUAAGCGGAGGAAAAGAAACUAACAAGGAUUCCCUUAGUAACGGCGAGUGAAGCGGGAAGAGCUCAAAUUUGAAAUCUUCAAGGUUUUACCUUGACGAAUUGUAGUUUAAAGAAGUGUUUUCUGCUGAAAGUUUUGGUAAAAGUUCUUUGGAAUAGGACAUCAUAGAGGGUGAGAAUCCCGUAUUUGACCAUUAUUUUCAGCUUUGUGAUACACUUUCAAAGAGUCGGAUUGUUUGGGAAUGCAGUCCAAAAUGGGUGGUAAAUUUCAUCUAAAGCUAAAUAUUGGCGAGAGACCGAUAGCGAACAAGUACCGUGAGGGAAAGAUGAAAAGAACUUUGAAAAGAGAGUUAAACAGUACGUGAAAUUGUCAAAAGGGAAGCGUUUGACACCAGUGUUGUUUUCUCGAAAAUCGAAUUAAAAAUGGCUCGAUUUUGUAUUGUUGAGACCUUAAAAGCUCACUGUACAUUUUUCGUGUCUUUUUUAAUGCACUUUUCGUUUAACAAGUCAACAUCAGUUUCUUUUGUUGUAAAAGGGUCAUUGGAAGGUGGCUUUCUUUUCGGAGAAAGUGUUUAUAGCCUUUGGCCUCUGCAAUCGGAGAGACUGAGGUCUGCAGCGUAGACUCUUCGGGGUUAGAUACAUUUGUGCUAAGUUAUAGCCUUUUAUAGACAACUUGUUGACUAUAAUUAGUCUUGUAGGCUUACUCGCUUAUGCUAUUUUACCUACGCUUAGGAUGUUGAAGAUGUAGCACAUCAU
rnacentral:rRNA from 1 species